rnacentral:lncRNA from 1 species
AGACAAAGGUGUAAAGGAAUUAGGCAAGGGUGUAACAUGAUUUCCACCAUUGAUAUGUUGUGCACACUGAGUUUGAACUGUAGUUCAUAAAAAAAAUACAGCAAAACGAUGUUAAAAAUUACAGCACAAUGAUGUCCCAACCAUCAAUGGCUUCUGCUCCAUACCUAAUAAACCCCACCUGGCCAUUAGGUGCUUAGAUCUCGAUCAUCUAGCCCCCCAAGGCAUCAGCGCCCUCCCUCAACUCAUGUUGAAGAUGCAUUGGCAGUGCAGGCAUGCCAACACGUGAAGGCUCAUGUGCGAGGUUGUCCUCUAUUCUCAUUGAAGAUUGUCAAUCAUCUUCUAAAUCAGUAAUUUCUUUUUGUUAUCUGAAUCAGUAAAGUAACAACAUUUGGUCUUCAGGAAACAUAUUCAAAAUUAACUAAGACAAGGCAUCAGUACUUUUACAAUCUCAUUACAGAAACUUCUAAAAAGAUUCAUUCAAUUAGCAUAUGUAGAAAAAAUAAGUUUACUUAUCUGAUCCAGGCCACCUAAUAAUAUGUAUACUUAGCAGUCUGGAACACCACCAUAGCCCACAUCUACGGAACUGGUUACUACAUGGCACGCCAAAACUUUGAUAUACUAUAAUUUUAUUCUACAUGAUUAGAACAUCAACUCUAAUUUUCAAGCAAAUAGUAAUAUUCAUACUAUCAAGCGCAUUAAAAAAAAUGUCAAAAUUACCUGCAUGUAACAACCUUAAAGGUAUCAUCCACAUAUAUUGGAGAAUUGCCACGACUGAGUAGUAAAUAUAGCACAUAAGUAGGAGUUAGUUUUCAUCUGCAAAACUUCAGAAAAAACCCAUCGCAUUGCAAAAACAAUUGAUAGACAUAACUGAAACAUAAAGAAUGACCCGUUAAUUGAGCUAUGCAUUAGAUUUUACAAGAUUCUGGGCAUUUCCAAACAAGUAUGCAAAUAAACAAGAUUCUUCAUUGAUUGCAUAUCUGUGAAUGCAAUAUUGAAUAUCAUUACUGAUGAAUUUUUCAAAAACAAAAAAGGCAGUAGCCAAUCUGAACCUUUCAAAAAAAAAUCUGCACAGGUAAAAUCAUUACUGGUGAAUCAACUAUGAAACAAAUGUGUGACAAAUAAAAAAAACCUUGAUGAUCAUGCGUUCUCUAACAAAUGAAGCUUGAACUUUGUUUUUCAUGUAAUUAAUUUUCUGAUUGAAGUACCACUUUGGGGUUCCUAGAUUCUAUAUUGUACUUCUUACAUAAUGGAACCUAUUUUCUAGCAAACUAUGGAGUUUCAGAGCACAUCAAAAGUCAGCAUAGCAGCUCCAUCAUUGGACCUGCUACCCCUCCCAAAAAAGAGAGCAAGAAAAAUAUGUUCUAGAAACAAAAUAAGACUACCUCAAUGGCAUACAAAUUAGAGACGUUUGAACAUCAUUAUCCCUCAUCAGCUCAUUUAAAGUUGGGGGCCUAUUUCGUCAAUUUAUAAAAGGCAUUGAUUAGUUAUAAAUGGGUGUUAUCUAGCCACAAUUAACAUGUUAGACACAAUCCUUCUUCCAAGGAAACCUAGAAGAAUAUGUUUCCAUUGGUAAUAGCUAAUUCAAACUGCGUACACAGGGCAGGUGUAGAAGACCUUACAUGUGAUGGAUCAUGCAUAUUUUAGAGCCUUCCAACAAAACUCCUGAAAAAUGGUAAACCUAAGAACAUUGAUGAUUGAUGAAGGAUAGCUAAAAGUCCAACCUCAAAGGUAAUGUGCAGAUUCUUGAGGUCAAGAUUGUCAUCCAAAUCAUUGACACCAUCCAGUAACUUGUUUAUGUGAUUCAUAUCAGUAGA